rnacentral:rRNA from 1 species
UACANCGGGAAGCCAUAUGGCGACAUAGAGCGGAACCCGAAAACCUGUCUCAGUUCGGAUUGGAGUCUGCAACCCGACUCCAUGAAGCUGGAUUCGCUAGUAAUCGCGCAUCAGCCACGGCGCGGUGAAUACGUUCCCGGGCCUUGUACACACCGCCCGUCAAGCCAUGGAAGCCGGGAGUGCCUGAAGUGCGUGAGCGCAAGCAGCGCCCUAAGGUAAAACCGGUGACUGGGGCUAAGUCGUAACAAGGUAUC